UACAAUAUUUGGUGUAAAACGAACGUCUUUGGAGUCUUCACAAUGACGCAAAAACACCACUCCAAGAACAUGUCGCUAUUUUAAUGUACUGUCAGCGUCUUAUGACUGUUUUCAGCAUUAAUCUUACUAAUGAUACCAUGUAAUUACUUACCAUUGCAUGUUUGUGCAUGGUUCACGACGAUAUUGAUAUCCUCUGACCAAAACUAGCAUUUAGGGCACUUGUAGUAGUCUGUUUGGGCUGCCAUGUUUGUUGUGAUGACGUCACCGCCGCCCAAGCAGACCCACCUCUGAGUCUUGGGCGGUCGAGACUCUCCGGACGGUCAGAAAAAAUGGCGCCGGGCGGCAACGAUGACGUCAUUUGGAGCCCUCCGAACCGCCCGGAGCCCUCCGGACGCCUCUCUCAAACGCACCCUAGGGGCAAAGAAGACGGUCACGACAAGCAGUCAAUUACAUUUUCUACGCGUGGUACUGGAAACACGUUGGUGCUUGGGCUGGGUGCUUGUCUUCAAGAUCAGCCUCUUCCAGUAAGGCAGCCCGGAUGUUGCCUUUUGCUACAGUAGUCUCCACCAUUGGAGGGGCGAGGGAGUCUACUUUUACCCGACACUAUAGGAAGCCUCUUGCCCAGCAGGCCCAGUUUGCUAGGGCAGAUAUGAUGAUGCGUCCUUUCCGAGGUGCAGACGGUGAGAGAAUGAGGGUGAAAGAGGGUGAAUGCGAGCCGACCUGACCUGAAGGGGCGCUUGGUCACGACCUCGGUAAUUGACUGACCCGACCCAGAGCCGUGACGUCAAAUGGAAGGUUAGAACUGAUUGGGUCCGGCACCAUGA